rnacentral:rRNA from 1 species
AACGAACGCUGGCGGCAUGCCUAACACAUGCAAGUCGAACGAGACCUUCGGGUCUAGUGGCGCACGGGUGCGUAACGCGUGGGAACCUGCCUUUAGGUUCGGAAUAACUCAGAGAAAUUUGAGCUAAUACCGGAUGAUGUCUUCGGACCAAAGAUUUAUCGCCUUUAGAUGGGCCCGCGUUGGAUUAGCUAGUUGGUGGGGUAAAGGCCUACCAAGGCGACGAUCCAUAGCUGGUCUGAGAGGAUGAUCAGCCACACUGGGACUGAGACACGGCCCAGACUCCUACGGGAGGCAGCAGUGGGGAAUAUUGGACAAUGGGCGAAAGCAUGAUCCAGCAAUGCCGCGUGAGUGAUGAAGGCAUUAGGGUUGUAAAGCUCUUUUACCCGAGAUGAUAAUGACAGUAUCGGGAGAAUAAGCUCCGGCUAACUCCGUG